rnacentral:rRNA from 1 species
GAGUUUGAUCCUGGCUCAGGAUGAACGCUGGCGGCGUGCCUAAUACAUGCAAGUCGAACGCACUGAUUUUAUCAGUGAGUGGCGAACGGGUGAGUAAUACAUAAGUAACCUGCCCUCAUGAGGGGGAUAACUAUUAGAAAUGAUAGCUAAGACCGCAUAGGUGAAGGGGUCGCAUGACCGCUUCAUUAAAUAUCCGUAAGGAUAGCAGGAGGAUGGACUUAUGGCGCAUUAGCUGGUUGGUGAGGUAACGGCUCACCAAGGCGACGAUGCGUAGCCGACCUGAGAGGGUGGACGGCCACACUGGGACUGAGACACGGCCCAGACUCCUACGGGAGGCAGCAGUAGGGAAUUUUCGGCAAUGGGGGAAACCCUGACCGAGCAACGCCGCGUGAGGGAAGAAGUAUUUCGGUAUGUAAACCUCUGUUAUAAAGGAAGAACGGUAUGAAUAGGAAAUGAUUCAUAAGUGACGGUACUUUAUGAGAAAGCCACGGCUAACUACGUGCCAGCAGCCGCGGUAAUACGUAGGUGGCGAGCGUUAUCCGGAAUCAUUGGGCGUAAAGAGGGAGCA